GCCUUCGUAGUGUAGUGGUCAGCGCGCUCAGCGUGUAACCGAGAGGUCCGUGGUUCGAAUACCUGCGAAGGCG
rnacentral:tRNA from 1 species